rnacentral:rRNA from 1 species
GCGCAGCAGGCGCGAAUCCUCCGCAAUGCUCGAAAGAGCGACGGGGGACUCCAAGUGCCUACGCUCAGCGUAGGCUGUUCCCGAGCCUAAAAAGCUCGGGGAGUAAGGGCUGGGUAAGACGGGUGCCAGCCGCCGCGGUAAUACCCGCAGCCCGAGUGGUGGCCGCUAUUAUUGGGCCUAAAGCGUCCGUAGCCGGCUCGGUAAAUGCCUGGGUAAAUCGUCUGGCCCAACCAGACGAAUUCCGGGUAGACUGCCGGGCUAGGGACCGGAGGAGGGAGAGGGU